AAGGCCGGGCAAAGUGAAUACCCCGGGUAAAGCGAAUACUCCCCAUUACUCCUAAAUUAUUAGUUGUUCAUUCAACACGCCACCACUGUUACGUUCAGCCAUCUUGGUUUAGUACGCGGCAAACAUUGAAGCGAGGGGCCACGUCGCGUCCCGUCCGCGGAGUGAAGAUUUGUGUUUUCGUAAAUAAAAGAUUGAUUUUACGCGAUGGUGAAUAAAUAUAAAAAAAAACUUAACUUUGGAAUAUUAACCAGUACCCCGAUCAAGGAAGAUCAAAAGCAGAAAUAUGAAAAAAAAAAAGUUAAGAAUGUUACUAAAAAACUGAAUGUUAAAUCAAAAAAUGUUCCUAAGAAGACUAAUACAAAUACUGCUAAAAAUGUUAAACAGCCAAAGAAAAUGAAAGAAUUUAAGGAUAUUUUAUGCUUUUUUUGCAGUGAAAUGUAUAUUGAAGGAGACGUCAAACCAAUUGAAAAUUGGAUUCAAUGUGACAUUUGUCAACAAUGGUGCCACGAAGAUUGUUCUGCUUUUGAUGGCACUCAAGGGUAUACCUGUGACAAUUGUCAAUCUUGAUUUUCUAAUUUUAUGGUUUAGUUAAGUUUUUUUUCAGUAUAUCAAAGUUAUUUCUAAGUUUUCAGAGAUUUAAUAUGGGUAUUCACUUUGCCCAAGUACUGUGUCCGCUUUACCCGGGGUACUGGGCAAAGCGAAUAGUUUCGCAUUUUUUUAAAUAUUGAUUGCAGUUCAUUAUUGUUUUAAUAUUAAUGGUAACUGGUGUUCGUAUUUGUAAGAGCAAUAAAUAAAGACUGAUUUGUGAUAAUUA